CAGCCGCCACGGUAAUACGUAGGUGGCAAGCGUUGUCCGGAAUUACUGGGCGUAAAGGGCUCGCAGGCGGUUUCUUAAGUCUGAUGUGAAAGCCCCCGGCUCAACCGGGGAGGGUCAUUGGAAACUGGGAAACUUGAGUGCAGAAGAGGAGAGUGGAAUUCCACGUGUAGCGGUGAAAUGCGUAGAGAUGAGAAGGAACACCAGUGGCGAAGGCGACUCUCUGGUCUGUAACUGACGCUGAGGAGCGAAAGCGUGGGGAGCGAACAGGAUUAGAUACCCGGGUAGUCCCUGUCUCUUAUAA
rnacentral:rRNA from 1 species